AUUGAACGCUGGCGGAAUGCUUUACACAUGCAAGUCGAGCGGCAGCGCGGGGGCAACCCUGGCGGCGAGCGGCGAACGGGUGAGUAAUACAUCGGAACGUGUCCUUAAGUGGGGGAUAGCUCGGCGAAAGCCGGAUUAAUACCGCAUAAGCUCUGAGGAGGAAAGCGGGGGCUCCGUAAGGACCUCGCGCUGUUGGAGCGGCCGAUGUCGGAUUAGCUAGUUGGUGGGGAAAGGCCCACCAAGGCGACGAUCCGUAGCUGGUCUGAGAGGAUGAUCAGCCACACUGGAACUGAGACACGGUCCAGACUCCUACGGGAGGCAGCAGUGGGGAAUUUUGGACAAUGGGGCAACCCUGAUCCAGCCAUUCCGCGUGAGUGAAGAAGGCCU
rnacentral:rRNA from 1 species